CUCAUCCAGGCAGAUGUCGUUAUUCACAGCAGGGUUGGGGUACUUGGGGUACCGCGCUAAGAAUUUGUGGCAUAGCAACCCCAAGCUCUUCUCCUUCCGACUCGGCUGGGAUUUCUCAAACUCGUCUCCAGAUAAGUGUUCCUGCAGAGGGAAAGCAGGUCAACAGCAGCCUUCCAACAGCUCCGGGCUCCACACUGACCGUCCCUUCCUCCACAAGGCCCCAGACGCCACCCAGUCCCCCCUGUAAACCUACGUGCAAACAGUCUCUAGCUUCAGGGAUGUGAACCUGUUUUGUACAAAUUGGUGGCUUGUUUGGGUUCUUCAGAAUUGAGGCUUCUGAUUCACUGGAGGUGGCUGUGCCCCUACCCCGCAACCCCCUGAAGUGGCUGGCAUUGGCGCAAAUGAGGCUGUUGAACCUGAUCGUGUUCUCUCUGGCCUUGGACCUGAGUGCUAGAGAGAGAGAGAGAGAGAGAGAGAGAGAGAGAGAGACUCUGAUGGCUCUGAAGAUCAUGGCUCUUCCCAUAUGAGGUUCUAGGCAGUCACCAAGAGCUUUAACUACCUAUUCCUGAGCCGGUCUCUUGCUCACUCCCCAGCCCUUUUGAAUACCCCUUUUGGUAUGAAUUUGAGGAUCUAAUUUGGCUAUCAUCUCUCAAAUGCUCAGGUGUGCUACAGUUUUACUCUUCGCUGUAUCACUUUGUCACACGGUUACGAGAACAGGAUCUACCCUUCACUCGAGGUCAUUCUCUGCAUCUUAGCUGAUGUUCAGUGAAAGCUCCAAGGGUUUGUCCAUGUGGAAACUGGUCGGCAGUCAAUCGAUGGUCUCGCAGCCACAGUUAGA
ensembl:processed_transcript